rnacentral:rRNA from 1 species
UACUCCUACGGGAGGCAGCAGUGGGGAAUUUUGGACAAUGGGCGCAAGCCUGAUCCAGCCAUGCCGCGUGAGUGAAGAAGGCCUUCGGGUUGUAAAGCUCUUUCAGCCGGGAAGAAAACGCAUGGGUUAAUACCCUGUGUGGAUGACGGUACCGGAAUAAGAAGCACCGGCUAACUACGUGCCAGCAGCCGCGGUAAUACGUAGGGUGCAGCGUUAAUCGGAAUUACUGGGCGUAAGCGUGCGCAGGCGGUUUUGUAAGACAGGCGUGAAAUCCCCGGGCUCAACCUGGGAACUGCGUUGUGACUGCAAGGCUAGAGUAUGGCAGAGGGGGGUGGAAUUCCACGUGUAGCAGUGAAAUGCGUAGAGAUGUGGAGGAACACCGAUGGCGAAGGCAGCCCCCUGGGCCAAUACUGACGCUCAUGCACGAAAGCGUGGGUAGCAAACAGGAUUAGAUACCCUGGUAGUCCACGCCCUAACGAUGUCAACUAGGUGUUGGGUGGGUAAAACCAUUUAGUACCGGAGCUAACGCGUGAAGUUGACCGCCUGGGGAGUACGGCCGCAAGGUUAAAACUCAAAUGAAUUGACGG